GUGGGGAAUUUUGGACAAUGGGCGCAAGCCUGAUCCAGCAAUGCCGCGUGUGUGAUGAAGGCCUUCGGGUUGUAAAGCACUUUUGGCAGGAAAGAAAUAGUGCGUGCUAAUACCAUGCGCGAAUGACGGUACCUGCAGAAUAAGCACCGGCUAACUACGUGCCAGCAGCCGCGGUAAGACGUAGGGUGCAAGCGUUAAUCGGAAUUACUGGGCGUAAAGCGUGCGCAGGCGGUUUUGUAAGACAGGUGUGAAAUCCCCGGGCUCAACCUGGGAACUGCACUUGUGACUGCAAGGCUAGAGUGUGUCAGAGGGAGGUGGAAUUCCGCGUGUAGCAGUGAAAUGCGUAGAGAUGCGGAGGAACACCGAUGGCGAAGGCAGCCUCCUGGGAUAACACUGACGCUCAGGCACGAAAGCGUGGGGAGCAAACAGGAUUAGAAACCCGUGUAGUCC
rnacentral:rRNA from 1 species